GCCCCCAAUCCCUGCAUUUCCUGCACAGUCAGGGUGUCCCAGGAAGCUCUGAUCCCUUCCCCUGCAAAAACCCCAGAAUACUCUCAAACAACAGGGAUGGGGGUUCCUGUGGCGCCCUCCACACCCCCCUCUGGGUCACCGGAUAGCCUUGAGCUCCCACCACCACUCUCUCCAGCGGCUGGAACCGCCAAAGCCCGGUGUAGCGAGGGGUGCAGAAUCUGCUGCCUGGCGGGUCUGGGCGGGACCUUCUAGGCCGCAGGCACCUCUUGGAAAAAGGAAAGCGAUCCCUCCUUCAGGGACUAAGGUAGAGAGGCGGUAGGAAAAGGAGGGCAGUGGGCGUACGCACUAGCCAGCUGGAAAGAAAGUGUAGCCUUAGAAGUCUGGGACGCGUUCGGCCCCAGGGUGGUAAGACAGGCUCCCUCCUCCACCCCAUACAAGCCCCGCCUGGAUUGCCCGCCUGGGUCUGGAGUACUGGGGGUCACCUCCCAGCCUCCUGACCCUUGGACUCCACGGUAGGGCGAGAGUGGACCCCGCGUCCUAGGACCAAACCGGAGCGUGGGCCUCCACUUCUCUGCAGAAGAGCCACCAAGCUGUGUACAGUGUGCACCGCAUGCGUGCCUGAGGCCUAAGGAGGCCAGAAGAGUGCAUCAUGUUCCCUGAGACUGGAGUUAUAGGUGGCUGUCUUAACUAGGGUUUUACUGCUGUGAACAGACACCAUGACCAAGCAGAACCAGAGAGGAACGGUUAGAGAUCUGCACAGCUCAGAAUAAGACAGGGAGGAAAGAAAGGUGGAAUCUCCACACACUGUCUGGCCCCAUAGCCUCAGGCUGGCUGGGGAUGCUCCUGCCAUGGCACACUGGCCUUGGAUAGACUGACCCCUGGGCUACCAUGAAACAACAGCAAGUGCCACCUCUGAGCACAUGCCCUAAGUGUCUACCUAUGUCCUGAUGAGUCACCCAGACUGCUCACCCACUACCCCUGAAGCUCAUCUGCUGGGUCCCCAGCACCUUGGUAUGAUUCACCCUUGUUCUGCAGUUUCUGUCUGAGCCUGCUGUGGGGAAAGACUGUUGCUUGGCCUUUGUAAGUAAAGAGCUUGCACGUCUC
rnacentral:lncRNA from 1 species